rnacentral:rRNA from 1 species
GCGGAGGAAAAGAAACUAACAAGGAUUCCCCUAGUAACGGCGAGUGAAGCGGGAAGAGCUCAAAUUUAAAAUCUGGCAGUCUACGAUUGUCCGAAUUGUAAUCUCGAGAAGUGUUUUCCGCGUUGGCCUGUGCACAAGUCCCUUGGAACAGGGCGUCAUAGAGGGUGAGAAUCCCGUCCUUGGCACAGAUACCCAAUGCUUUGUGAUACACUCUCAAUGAGUCGAGUUGUUUGGGAAUGCAGCUCAAAAUGGGAGGUAAAUUCCUUCUAAAGCUAAAUACUGGCGAGAGACCGAUAGCGAACAAGUACCGUGAGGGAAAGAUGAAAAGCACUUUGGAAAGAGAGUCAAACAGUACGUGAAAUUGUUGAAAGGGAAACGAUUGAAGUCAGUCGUGCCUGCCUAGAUUCAGCCUUCUGGUGUAUUUCUAGGUCGGCAGGUCAGCAUCAGUUUGGGAGGGUUAACAAGGGGAUUAGGAAUGUGGCAACCUCGGUUGUGUUAUAGCCUAGUUUCGUAUUGAUCUUGCUGGACUGAGGAACGCAGUGCGCCCGCAAGGGUAGGUCUUCGGACACUUUCGCACUUAGGAUGCUGGCAUAAUGGCUUUAAACGACCCGUCUUGACCA